rnacentral:rRNA from 1 species
UACGUAGGGUGCAAGCGUUGUCCGGAAUUAUUGGGCGUAAAGAGCUCGUAGGCGGUCUGUCGCGUCUGCUGUGAAAACUCGGGGCUUAACCCCGGGCCUGCAGUGGGUACGGGCAGACUAGAGUGCGGUAGGGGAGACUGGAAUUCCUGGUGUAGCGGUGAAAUGCGCAGAUAUCAGGAGGAACACCGGUGGCGAAGGCGGGUCUCUGGGCCGUUACUGACGCUGAGGAGCGAAAGCGUGGGGAGCAACAGG